ACCAUGUUUAAAGUGUUGAUAACUGUAGCUCUGAUUGAACCAUGUUGUAAAGUGUUGAUAACUGUAGCUCUGAUUGAACCAUGUUGUAAAGUGUUGAACUGUCUGUUUAGGGUAAACCAGAGUACCCAGGAAGACACACCAAGACCAAUUAGGUGAUCGUGUUGAAGAAGAGUGAGGAUGAGAACACCUGAUCACCAUAACAACCAUCAGAAUGGAACUCAUGGAAUUCUAAUAUAGAACUGUGAGUCACAAUGCUGUAUGCUGUUACAUUGUAGCUCCACCUGCUGGAACAAUAGUGGCAUUUGAUCAAAUGUGAUCUAUUAACUGAUACAUGUAUUAUUCUGAUUGGAAUGUGUUUCAAUAUAAUGUGUGUUGUAUUAUUCAUUCAGCAGCUGUCCUUUAACAUCAGUCAUAUACUGGUCAUAUACUGUAUAGCAUUAUGGUUGAUACAUUGUAAAUGCCUUCACUUUUCAUGUCUAUACAGAUCAACUGUGAGGCUUAGUGAGGCUUUAUUAGUCAGCCGGCCCGCCUGGUUCUUUGUGCGGGAUUAUUGUAACCCUGGUGUUUGCUAUAGAUGUACGUGUUCGUGUAGUUAUGCUAGACUGUUUUCAUUCCCUGUGUCUGGGGCAUUUGGUUUAAGAACCCGAAAGUGGGGUGGUGUGUGUGCAUUAAAGGAACACUUUAUUGAACUCUCUGCUUUCACCCUCACGACACCCAGGACCUUACACUUGUUUUGUGCAAAACCAUUAUUUUAAAAUUAAUGAUCUAGGUAAGAUUUUGCUUUUGUCUUCGUAGAAUUAUGUAGAAUUAUGUAUGUAUGUAGAAUUAAAUAAAUUACUUUCCUCAA